GUCCACACCGUAAACGAUGAGAGCUAGUUGUCAGCAGGCAUGCCUGUUGGUGACGCAGCUAACGCAUUAAGCUCUCCGCCUGGGGAGUACGGCCGCAAGGUUAAAACUCAAAGAAAUUGACGGGGGCCCGCACAAGCGGUGGAGCAUGUGGUUUAAUUCGAAGCAACGCGCAGAACCUUACCUACGCUUGACAUGCCUGGACGACUCCGAGAGAUCGGUUUCUCCCUUCGGGGCCAGUGCACAGGUGCUGCAUGGCU
rnacentral:rRNA from 1 species